rnacentral:rRNA from 1 species
ACAUGCAGCCAUAUCACCCUGCAGCCCAAGACUGGUUGCCCACUGAAGCUAAGCAGGGUUGAGCCUGGUCAGCACCUGGAUGGGAGACCUCCUGGGAAAACUAGGUUGCUGCUGGAA